GCUGCAUUAGUUCAGUUGGCUAUGGCGUAGCACUCUAAGUAAGAUACUGCAGGUUCGAAGCCUGUAUGGAGCA